rnacentral:rRNA from 1 species
GACGAACGCUGGCGGCGUGCCUAAUACAUGCAAGUCGAGCGGACUUGAUGGAGUGCUUGCACUCUUGAUGGUUAGCGGCGGACGGGUGAGUAACACGUAGGCAACCUGCCCCACAGACUGGGAUAACUACCGGAAACGGUAGCUAAUACCGGAUAAUUCCUCUUGGCUCCUGCUGAGAGGAUGAAAGACGGAGCAAUCUGUUACUGCGGGAUGGGCCUGCGGCGCAUUAGCUAGUUGGUGAGGUAACGGCUCACCAAGGCGACGAUGCGUAGCCGACCUGAGAGGGUGAACGGCCACACUGGGACUGGGACACGGCCCAGACUCCGACGGGAGGCAGCAGUAGGGAAUCUUCCGCAAUGGGCGGAAGCCUGACGGAGCAACGCCGCGUGAGUGAUGAAGGUUUUCGGAUCGUAAAGCUCUGUUGCCAGGGAAGAACGUCCGGUAGAGUAACUGCUACCGGAGUGACGGUACCUGAGAAGAAAGCCCCGGCUAACUACGUGCCAGCCGCCGCAGUAAAAC